rnacentral:rRNA from 1 species
GACAAGAAAUAACAAUACAGGACUUUUUGGUUUUGUAAUUGGAAUGAGUUAAGUAUAAACCCCUUUACAAGUAUCAAUUGGAGGGCAAGUCUGGUGCCAGCAGCCGCGGUAAUUCCAGCUCCAAUAGCGUAUAUUAAAGUUGUUGCAGUUAAAAAGCUCGUAGUUGGAUUUCUGUUAAUAAUUUAUAUAAAAUAUUUUGAUGAAUAUUUAUAUAAUAUUAACAUAAUUCAUAUUACUAUAUAUUUUAGUAUAUGAAAUUUUACUUUGAGAAAAUUAGAGUGCUUAAAGCAGGCAUAUGCCUUGAAUACUCCAGCAUGGAAUAAUAUUAAAGAUUUUUAUCUUUCUUAUUGGUUCUAAGAUAAGAAUAAUGAUUAAUAGGGACAGUUGGGGGCAUUUGUAUUUAACAGUCAGAGGUGAAAUUCUUAGAUUUGUUAAAGACAAACUAAUGCGAAAGCAUUUGCCAAGGAUGUUUUCAUUAAUCAAGAACGAAAGUUAGGGGAUCGAAGACGAUCAGA